CGGAGACCGCGAGCCUCGCCUCUCCGCACCGGAAGCGUGGCCGGCGGGGCUACUGCGCCUGCGUCGUGCGGCUGGGCUCCGAGUCCUCGAAGGCUCCGCCCCGGGCAGGCCCCGCCCCGCGCAGGCGCCCUAGGCCCGCAGCGCGGCCCGCGGCUUCCGAGCUGCCAUGGUGCCGCCGCCGCUGUGCACGCUGCCGCCGGGCCCGGGGCCGCCCCGCUUCGUGUGCUGGUGCGAGGGCCAGGAGGGCGGGGACGAGGACGGCUUCACCCUCUGCGUGACGGACGGCGCGCGGCUCUGGAGCACCUGCUGGACGCCGGGCGGCCUGGCGGCCCUCGUGGAAGGCGCGCUUGGGGCUGAGCGCGGCGGAGGACCUCGGCGCCCGGUUCAGGUGAGCCCGGUGCUGGGCAGGCGUGGGCGGGGGGGGGCGGGCCUGGCGUGGACGCAGCCGGACGCUCUGUCUCCCAGGGCAGCCUGCCAGCAGCAAGCCGUGACCGUGACCCUGCAGGAGGAGGCGGCAUCCCUGACGCUCCCCGGGGCGCCCUCCGCCCUGGCCUUUGAGCUCUCGGAGGUAGCCGGCCCAGAGGCAGCCCCCAGGCUGCAGGCGCUGACCCUGGGCCUGGCAGAGCGGGUGUGCAGCCUGGAGCGGCGGCUGGCAGCCGCGGAGGAGUCGACCCCCAGCCCUAGGAAGAGCCCCCGGCCGGCGGGGCCUCAGCUCUUCCUACCAGGUGAGGCGUCGCCUGGGAAGUGGGUUGGGGCUGGAGCGGGCCGGGCGCAGGUCCGCGGAGAGGCCCCGGUAUCGGGAACGGGCUGUUGCCCGGGUGCUGCUGGGUCCAGGAUCCCCUGUCCCGUUUCCCCCUAGAUCUGGAUCCCCAGCGAGGUGGCCCUGGACAGGGAGUCCGCAGACGGUGUCCAGGGGAGUCCCUCAUCAACCCCGGCUUCAAGAGUAAGAAACCGGCCGGCGGUGUUGACUUUGACGAAGCCUGAAGUGACAGCGAAGUGUGGCUGUGCUUGGAGUCUGCCUGGGGGGUGGGCACCACCCUGGGAGCCCCCGCCACCCCCGGCCCAUCCUGCUGCCCCUCAGGACCCUGCCCCAUCAAAUAAAGGUGCCCUGAGGUGG